AGCGAACGCUGGCGGCAGGCUUAACACAUGCAAGUCGAACGCCCCGCAAGGGGAGUGGCAGACGGGUGAGUAACACGUGGGAACGUACCCUUUGGUUCGGAAUAACUUGGGGAAACUCAAGCUAAUACCGGAUAAGCCCUUAUGGGGAAAGGUUUACUGCCGAAGGAUCGGCCCGCGUCUGAUUAGCUAGUUGGUGAGGUAAUGGCUCACCAAGGCGACGAUCAGUAGCUGGUCUGAGAGGAUGAUCAGCCACACUGGGACUGAGACACGGCCCAGACUCCUACGGGAGGCAGCAGUGGGGAAUAUUGGACAAUGGGGGCAACCCUGAUCCAGCCAUGCCGCGUGAGUGAUGAAGGCCUUUGGGUUGUAAAGCUCUUUUACCCGGGACGAUAAUGACUGUACCGGGAGAAUAAGCCCCGGCUAACUUCGUGCCAGCCGCCGCGGUAAUAC
rnacentral:rRNA from 1 species